GAGGAGGGGCACUGGGCUGGGGAUUUUGGGUGUAGCUGAUGUUGAGGUUUCUCUAAGUUUAGGGCCUCAGUGCUCUCAGCCUGUGCUACCAUGCCUUGUGACCGUGAUCAGCGGCUGGCCUGCUCUGAGCCAGUCCCCAGGAAGGAGGGGUGAGAUUCACCAGCCUGGCUGAUGUAAGGACUUCCCUUCCAGUCCUCUGUGAAGUUGCAGCUGCUCUGCAGCCAGGUAUUAAUGAGCUGCUGGGACAGGGGAAUGAUGUGAGUACAAGUCCCAGCACCCCAUUGUCCCAUGACCUUAUGACCCCCAGUGCCCUGAAGCUCUGCACUAGGCCUGGGGAGAUGGGUGACCCAGCCUCGACACCUCUCUGGGCACCUCCCAUACUUCUUUCCAGCCUGUCUGUUCCUUAUUGCAGGAUCCAGGCUAGGGGUGAGGGGCUGGUGAAUAGGGUACUGGCACCCUCUGAAGGUCUCCUUUCUCCAUAGUAUGAGAAGAUCCUGAAGCUCACAGCUGAUGCCAAGUUUGAGUCAGGCGAUGUGAAGGCCACAGUAGCAGUGCUGAGUUUCAUCCUCUCCAGUGCAGCCAAGCACAGUGUCGAUGGCGGAUCCUUGGCCAGUGAACUGCAGCAGCUGGGGCUGUCCCAAGAGCACACGGCCGGCCCGUACCACUUUUAUGAGGAGAAGCAAAGCCCCUUGCAGAAGCACUUGUGUGUCUGCAGCCUACGCAGCAAGUGUGAGGCCAGCCAGGGUCCAGGCUCCUUCUAGAAGGUGCACGCAGCACACAAGUGCAUGGAGAGUCCAAGGAGACAACUUAACCAUGGUCACAUACCAAGCAGCUGCAGAGCUGGGACCUGGCCCUGGCUCUCCUGACUCCGCGGGCUGUGUGAUGUGUAUGUACAGGAUCAGACCUUGCCCUUUCCUCCUGGCUGACUCUUCCCUAGUCCCCUGUGCCCCAUGUGUGAGCACCCAGCUCUCUCUUAUUCCUCCCUCUCCGAAGUGUGGUCCCUGGGAGCACGAGUGGGAGAAGGGGCAGCAGAGACUGUGGACCCCUCAGCUGCACCUAAGACCUCUGUGUGGUCUAGCUGUGUGUGCUGGGGGAGGCUUUUGGCCACCAUUUCCCGCUCUGUAAAUGAGACCGAUACCUGUGGCAUGGAGGGCGGGAGGCCGGUGUGAGUGCCAAGCACUUGGAGCAGGGCCCUGAGUGAACAUGGACUUGGAAACGGGUGUUCCUUGAUUUUAUGCACCUUGGGAAUGGGAGUGGGGCUCCCUGCAUGGGUUGAUAAGGCAUUGCUUUCCCCCACUCCACCUCUUUCCCAGCCCUGCAAGUCCAGUCCUCAGGGGUCCAGGAGGAAAGAAGCCCCUGGCUGUGUGACUUCGGGCUGGUGCCUGGCCCUCUCUGGCUCUGAGUUCCUGGGAACGUCAGCACCCAAGGCACGCCCUCAAGUUUAGCACCUUGACAAGAAGGGCAGGGACACUGGGAUCAGGCCCACCCCCCUGGCCCCACACCCCAUGGCCCCAACUGGAGGAUGAGGAGAUGCUGGGCUUGGAUGGGGGAAUCAGGGGUGGAAAGGGACCUGCUCACCCC
ensembl:lincRNA